AGGGUAUGGGUCUACUUCUUUGAACAUUCGCUCAGAUCGUAAGGUAACCCCAAGAAUCGGCAUCACUCUCUGGUCUGGGCGCCUGGAUAGUCACGCAUGGAGUCCGCGAGGUGCUGGCGCCGGAGCACGCUGGGAACGCCGGGCUCCCGGCCGGCCUGACCCGGAAGGGCUGGCGCAUGGUAACCCCAGCUUCCCUAGCAACCAAGCAGGCGCAAGAAGCAACCAGCCGCGCUAUCCGCUCCCGUUGCUACCGGAAUGCCUCUUCAGGUUAGCGAUUACAGCUGGCAGCAGACGAAGACUGCGGUCUUUCUGUCUCUGCCCCUCAAAGGCGUGUGCGUCAGAGACACGGACGUGUUCUGCACGGAAAACUAUCUGAAGGUCAACUUUCCUCCAUUUUUAUUUGAGGCAUUUCUUUAUGCUCCCAUAGACGAUGAGAGCAGCAAAGCAAAGAUUGGGAAUGACACCAUUGUCUUCACCUUGUAUAAAAAAGAAGCGGCCAUGUGGGAGACCCUUUCUGUGACGGGUGUUGACAAAGAGAUGAUGCAAAGAAUUAGAGAAAAAUCUAUUUUACAAGCACAAGAGAGAGCAAAAGAAGCUACAGAAGCAAAAGCUGCAGCAAAGCGGGAAGAUCAAAAAUACGCACUAAGUGUCAUGAUGAAGAUUGAAGAAGAAGAGAGGAAAAAAAUAGAAGAUAUGAAAGAAAAUGAACGGAUAAAAGCCACUAAAGCAUUGGAAGCCUGGAAAGAAUAUCAAAGAAAAGCUGAGGAGCAAAAAAAAAUUCAGAGAGAAGAGAAAUUAUGUCAAAAAGAAAAGCAAAUUAAAGAAGAAAGAAAAAAAAUAAAAUAUAAGAGUCUUACUAGAAAUUUGGCAUCUAGAAAUCUUGCUCCAAAAGGGAGAAAUUCAGAAAAUAUAUUUACUGAGAAGUUAAAGGAAGACAGUAUUCCUGCUCCUCGCUCUGUUGGCAGUAUUAAAAUCAACUUUACCCCUCGAGUAUUCCCAACAGCUCUUCGUGAAUCACAAGUAGCAGAAGAGGAGGAGUGGCUACACAAACAAGCUGAGGCACGAAGAGCAAUGAAUACUGACAUAGCUGAACUUUGCGAUUUAAAAGAAGAAGAAAAGAACCCAGAAUGGUUGAAGGAUAAAGGAAACAAAUUGUUUGCAACGGAAAACUAUUUGGCAGCUAUCAAUGCAUAUAAUUUAGCCAUAAGACUAAAUAAUAAGAUGCCACUAUUGUAUUUGAACCGGGCUGCUUGCCACCUAAAACUAAAAAACUUACACAAGGCUAUUGAAGAUUCUUCUAAGGCACUGGAAUUAUUGAUGCCACCUGUUACAGACAAUGCUAAUGCAAGAAUGAAGGCACAUGUACGACGUGGAACAGCAUUCUGUCAACUAGAAUUGUAUGUAGAAGACCUGAAAGAUGUCUGAAAAUUCCAGUGACAGUGAUUCAUCUUGUGGUUGGACUGUCAUCAGUCAUGAGGGGUCAGAUAUAGAAAUGUUGAAUUCUGUGACCCCCACUGACAGCUGUGAGCCCGCCCCAGAAUGUUCAUCUUUAGAGCAAGAGGAGCUUCAAGCAUUGCAGAUAGAGCAAGGAGAAAGCAGCCAAAAUGGCACAGUGCUUAUGGAAGAAACUGCUUAUCCAGCUUUGGAGGAAACCAGCUCAACAAUUGAGGCAGAGGAACAAAAGAUACCCGAAGACAGUAUCUAUAUUGGAACUGCCAGUGAUGAUUCUGAUAUUGUUACCCUUGAGCCACCUAAGUUAGAAGAAAUUGGAAAUCAAGAAGUUGUCAUUGUUGAAGAAGCACAGAGUUCAGAAGACUUUAACAUGGGCUCUUCCUCUAGCAGCCAGUAUACUUUCUGUCAGCCAGAAACUGUAUUUUCAUCUCAGCCUAGUGACGAUGAAUCAAGUAGUGAUGAAACCAGUAAUCAGCCCAGUCCUGCCUUUAGACGACGCCGUGCUAGGAAGAAGACCGUUUCUGCUUCAGAAUCUGAAGACCGGCUAGUUGCUGAACAAGAAACUGAACCUUCUAAGGAGUUGAGUAAACGUCAGUUCAGUAGUGGUCUCAAUAAGUGUGUUAUACUUGCUUUGGUGAUUGCAAUCAGCAUGGGAUUUGGCCAUUUCUAUGGCACAAUUCAGAUUCAGAAGCGUCAACAGUUAGUCAGAAAGAUACAUGAAGAUGAAUUGAAUGAUAUGAAGGAUUAUCUUUCCCAGUGUCAACAGGAACAAGAAUCUUUUAUAGAUUAUAAGUCAUUGAAAGAAAAUCUUGCAAGGUGUUGGACACUUACUGAAGCAGAGAAGAUGUCCUUUGAAACUCAGAAAACGAACCUUGCUACAGAAAAUCAGUAUUUAAGAGUAUCCUUGGAGAAGGAAGAAAAAGCCUUAUCCUCAUUACAGGAAGAGUUAAACAAACUAAGAGAACAGAUUAGAAUAUUGGAAGAUAAAGGGACAAGUACUGAAUUAGUUAAAGAAAAUCAGAAACUUAAGCAGCAUUUGGAAGAGGAAAAGCAGAAAAAACACAGCUUUCUUAGUCAAAGGGAGACUCUGUUGACAGAAGCAAAGAUGCUAAAGAGAGAACUGGAGAGAGAACGACUAGUAACUACGGCUUUAAGGGGGGAACUCCAGCAGUUAAGUGGUAGUCAGUUACAUGGCAAGUCAGAUUCUCCCAAUGUAUAUACUGAAAAAAAGGAAAUAGCAAUCUUACGGGAAAGACUCACUGAGCUGGAACGGAAGCUAACCUUCGAACAGCAGCGUUCUGAUUUGUGGGAAAGAUUGUAUGUUGAGGCAAAAGAUCAAAAUGGAAAACAAGGAACAGAUGGAAAAAAGAAAGGGGGCAGAGGAAGCCACAGGGCUAAAAAUAAGUCAAAGGAAACAUUUUUGGGUUCAGUUAAGGAAACAUUUGAUGCCAUGAAGAAUUCUACCAAGGAGUUUGUAAGGCAUCAUAAAGAGAAAAUUAAGCAGGCUAAAGAAGCUGUGAAGGAAAAUCUGAAAAAAUUCUCAGAUUCAGUUAAAUCCACUUUCAGACACUUUAAAGAUACCACCAAGAAUAUCUUUGAUGAAAAGGGUAAUAAAAGAUUUGGUGCUACAAAAGAAGCAGCUGAAAAACCAAGAACAGUUUUUAGUGACUAUUUACAUCCACAGUAUAAGGCACCUACAGAAAACCAUCAUAAUAGAGGCCCUACUAUGCAAAAUGAUGGAAGGAAAGAAAAGCCAGUUCACUUUAAAGAAUUCAGAAAAAAUACAAAUUCAAAGAAAUGCAGUCCUGGGCAUGAUUGUAGAGAAAAUUCUCAUUCUUUCAGAAAGGCUUGUUCUGGUGUAUUUGAUUGUGCUCAACAAGAGUCCAUGAGCCUUUUUAACACAGUGGUGAAUCCUAUAAGGAUGGAUGAAUUUAGACAGAUAAUUCAAAGGUACAUGUUAAAAGAACUGGAUACUUUUUGUCACUGGAACGAACUUGAUCAGUUCAUCAAUAAGUUUUUCCUAAACGGUGUCUUUAUACAUGAUCAGAAGCUCUUCACUGACUUUGUUAAUGAUGUUAAAGAUUAUCUUAGAAACAUGAAGGAAUAUGAAGUAGAUAAUGAUGGAGUAUUUGAGAAGUUGGAUGAAUAUAUAUAUAGACACUUCUUUGGUCACACUUUUUCCCCUCCAUAUGGACCCAGUCGACCUGAUAAAAAGCAACGUAUGGUAAAUAUUGAAAACUCCAGGCAUCGAAAACAAGAGCAGAAGCACCUUCAGCCACAGCCUUAUAAAAGGGAAGGUAAAUGGCAUAAAUAUGGUCGCACUAAUGGAAGACAAAUGGCAAAUCUUGAAAUAGAAUUGGGGCAAUUACCUUUUGAUCCUCAAUACUGAUUCACAAUUGAGUUAAAUUAGACAACUGUAAGAGAAAAAUUUAUGCUUUGUAUAAUGUUUGGUAUUGAAACUAAUGAAAUUACCAAGAUGACAAUGUCUUUUCUUUUGUUUCUAAGUAUCAGUUUGAUAACUUUAUAUUAUUCCUCAGAAGCAUUAGUUAAAAGUCUACUAACCUGCAUUUUCCUGUAGUUUAGCUUCGUUGAAUUUUUUUUGACACUGGAAAUGUUCAACUGUAGUUUUAUUAAGGAAGCCAGGCAUGCAACAGAUUUUGUGCAUGAAAUGAGACUUCCUUUCAGUGUAAGAGCUUAAAGCAAGCUCAGUCAUACAUGACAAAGUGUAAUUAACACUGAUGUUUGUGUUAAAUUUGCAGCAGAGCUUGAGAAAAGUACAUUGUUCUGGAAUUUCAUCAUUAACAUUUUAUAAUCUUACACUCACUUCUUGUCUUUUUGUGGGUUCAAGAGCCCUCUGACUUGUGAAGAAUUUGCUGCCCUCUUAAGAGCUUGCUGACUUGUUUUCUUGUGAAAUUUUUUGCACAUCUGAAUAUCGUGGAAGAAACAAUAAAACUACACCAUGAGGAAAACUAAAGGUCUUUAUUUAAAAUCUGGCAUUGUAUUAACAUGUAAUUUUAUACUAUGUGGUAUUUUAUACAUUUCCUCAGUAGUGAUAUUUGGUAAAGCAGUUCAUACAGCUUUUUUCUAAGUUCCAUGAAUCUUACCCAGUGUUUACCGAAGUAUUUAAGCAGCAUCUGAAUAUUUCCACCCAGCAAUGUUAAUUUAUCUAGGAAAGUUCAGAAUUUCAUCUUCAUGUUGAAUUUCCCUUUUAACUUCCGUUCAUAGACAUAUAUGUGACUUCCAAUUCGACCCUCUGGCAAGUGAGUGUGGAAGAAAACAGCAGUUCUUUUAUAAUUGCUUGAAAUUAGGAAAGCGCUUAUUUCCUAGAAGCAAAUAAAUGUUUAAGUAAAUAAAGGCUACAUUUUGCUGAGUACUGUUUCAGUCAA
rnacentral:lncRNA from 1 species